UACGAAGGGGGCUAGCGUUGCUCGGAAUCACUGGGCGUAAAGCGCACGUAGGCGGCUUUCUAAGUCAGGGGUGAAAUCCUGGAGCUCAACUCCAGAACUGCCUUUGAUACUGGAGAGCUAGAGUCCGGAAGAGGUGAGUGGAACUGCGAGUGUAGAGGUGAAAUUCGUAGACAUUCGCAAGAACACCAGUGGCGAAGGCGGCUCACUGGUCCGGUACUGACGCUGAGGUGCGAAAGCGUGGGGAGCAAACAGG
rnacentral:rRNA from 1 species